rnacentral:rRNA from 1 species
UACGGAGGGUGCAAGGCGUUAUCCGGAUUCACUGGGUUUAAAGGGUGCGUAGGCGGGCAGGUAAGUCCGUGGUGAAAUCUCUGAGCUUAACUCAGAAACUGCCAUGGAUACUAUUUGUCUUGAAUAUUGUGGAGGUAAGCGGAAUAUGUCAUGUAGCGGUGAAAUGCUUAGAUAUGACAUAGAACACCAAUUGCGAAGGCAGCUUACUACACAGUUAUUGACGCUGAGGCACGAAAGCGUGGGGAUCAAACAGG